rnacentral:tRNA from 1 species
GCCUGGGUGGCUCAGUCGGUUGAGCGUCCGACUUCGGCUCAGGUCAUGAUCUCACGGUCUGUGAGUUCGAGCCCCACAUCGGGCU